UUGGGUUCCAUGGCAAGUCAAGGCGUUCAGUGAGUUUCGAAAUCCCCGGUGUAUUCCACAGCUCCGGUGAUGUGGACGACAUGAAGGUUUACAACUAAAGCAGAAAAUUCCGGAAGUAUGCUCGACGGUACAACGAUAGUAAAAAGCAUUACGAAACAUAUAAAGCCUAUCAAAGGCGAGUCAAGCUCAGCAAGAUGAAGAACGCCUUGGAAAAGUUUCACCUUAAUCUCUAAGGCUAUUGUUCUAGAGAACAAUUGAACUAUCUUUAUUAAACAAAUGAGUUAUUUUAUAUGUCUUUUAGGCUUCUAGCCCACUUUUGCAUUAUCUAUGUUCAUAUACAUGAAAUUAUAUACUUUUCUAGCAAAA